UUUUCUCCCUGACAAUCUAUUGCUGGCCUAGUCUUUCAGAUCUGCAGAGAGGCACCCAUCACCAAUGUGUCCAUCCAUCUUGCUGCUGGUCAUCUCCUUCUCUUUCUUUCCAUCUUUCUCAGCAUUACAGUCUUUCCCAGAGAUCUGGGUCUUCAAGGCCUCCAUCAAGGAUGAAUUCUAAAAUGAUCACUGUGAUCAAUAUCAAAGUACUGGUCUCAGCCCUCUUCUUAUGGAGGAUAAUUAUAUGUCAACAUGGAUUAGGACUAUUUCACUGAAAAUCCAACAUAUCAGCUUCUGCAAGGAGGAGUUCCUAUUGAUGGGCUAUGAGCGUGGCUUUAGUGCACUUAGACAACAUAUUAAAAAGCAGGAAAUCCAACAGGAUCCAUCUGCUCUACCCAAGAAUGUUUUUUUUAACAGUCAGACCACCCUUCACAAACCAACAUUUUUAUCAUCUCAUCCUGCCCAGCAGAGAACAAGGAAAUGGAUUGGAAGACUUGCAGUUGAGUGGUAGAUUCCAUGUUUUACAUGCAAACAUUCUAGACUUAAUUCCUGGCAUUUCCACUCUAAACAUCUAUAGAACCUUUCCCAUCACUGUAGAGUUUAGUCAAUACUUAACUCUAUGAAUCAAUAAGCCUGAAUCAGUACAAGGCAGGUGGUUGUUAUAGUUAUAGCUGUUGUUAGAAAGAAAUACAUAUCUUUUUUUCCUCUGAAAAAAAAUGUUGCUCAAAAUAAGCAGCAAGCUUCAAGAAAUGUAUGAAAAUUAUUAUAACUCACAAGAAAGUAAAAUAGCUGUAAAG